CUUUGGGGAAUUGGGCCCUAUGCCCAGCGGCCCCCGUAUGGAUUCUGCCAAUUCCCCUUGGGUUGGGAACCCUCCUUUUCUCAGGGAAAUAUGCGGACCCUGGUGGAUAACUUCCGUAACUACGUGCCAGCAGCCGCGGUAAUACGUAGGAAGCAAGCGUUAUCCGGAUUUAUUGGGCGUAAAGUGAGCGUAGGUGGUCUUUCAAGUUGGAUGUGAAAUUUCCCGGCUUAACCGGGACGAGUCAUUCAAUACUGUUGGACUAGAGUACAGCAGGAGAAAACGGAAUUCCCGGUGUAGUGGUAAAAUGCGUAGAUAUCGGGAGGAACACCAGAGGCGAAGGCGGUUUUCUAGGUUGUCACUGACACUGAGGCUCGAAAGCGUGGGGAGCGAACAGAAUUAGAUACUCAGGUAGUCCACGCCUUAAACUAUGGACACUAGGUAUAGGGAGUAUCGACCCUCUCUGUGCCGAAGCUAAC
rnacentral:rRNA from 1 species